rnacentral:sRNA from 1 species
CUAUUUUAAUUUUGAUGUCUCUUUCAUUGAAUUUCAUGAAAAAUAUAUAGAUUUUCUCAUGUUUUAAAUUAUUGCUGAUUUUGGAACGAUCUUUACUUUCGAAUCAAUAGGACUCAUCAUUUGCCAAUUUAGACAACACAGUCACUUCCUAAGACAAGGAUCUUUAGAUCUAUCAGAAGACUUAGAGCAUCAUUAUUGGUUGUUUCUUAGAUUAGUUCGUAGGAUUUUUUUUGGUCAUUGAUUACUAAGAACAUCUCAUUUUAACUCUUAUAUAAGAGACAUUUUGUCAUUUUGUCUCUUAUAUAAGAGUUAAAAGGAGAUGUUCUUAUCCUAAGAAUUAAUCUAAGAGACAACCAAUAAUGAUGCUCUUAGACAACGUUGACGAUUAUAGAAAGAACUAGUCCUUCGUUAAUCAUUGAGAUUGUUCAAGUCACUAUAUGUGGGACUUUGAGCUCAACUUGCUGCGAUCGCCAGCUAGUUUUUAUUUAAAAUACUUCUACUAAUUUAAAAAUUAUA